UUAGCAGCACAGAGAGGGGUUCAAGGCGUAUCUUCUUGAGUGAGCGGAGAAUUGCUUAUAUUGUCGAGACCCGUGUGCCGAAGCGCGCCUUACUGGAUCUGUACCUGACGUGAGGCUAAAAAGGCGUGGGCACCAACAAGGAAUAGAUCUCUGGAGUCCAACGCCAUAAACGAUAGAUACUAGUGUGGGAUCCAAUAAGGGAUUCGGUGCCGCAGCUAACGCAAUAAGUAUUCCACUGGGGAGUACGUCGCAAGAAAUGAACUCAGAGGAAAUUGACGGGGACCCGCACAAGCGGUGGAGCAUGUGGUUAAUUCGAAGCAACGCGAAGAACCCUUACCAAAUCUUGACAUCUGACUGACCGGUCCUUAACCGGACCUUUCCUUCGGGACAGUCAAGACAGGUGGUGCAUGGUUGUCGUCAGCUCGUGUCGUGAGAUGUUGGGGGGGGGUCCCGCAACGAGCACAACCCCUAAUAUUAGUAGCCAGCGGUUCGGCCGGGCAAAACUAGUAAGACUGCCGGGGAUAACCCGGAGGAAGGUGGGGAUGACGUCAAAUCAUCAUGCCCCUUACGAUUUGGGCUACACACGUGCUACAAUGGCUACUACAAAGAGCUGCGAACCCGUAAGGGCAAGCGAAUCUCAAAAAGGUAGUCUCAGUUCGGACUGUGGGCUGCAACCCGCCCACACGAAGUUGGAGUUGCUAGUAAUCCCGAAUCAGAAUGUCGGGGUGAAUGCGUCC
rnacentral:rRNA from 1 species